UCGACUCCAUGAAGUCGGAAUCGCUAGUAAUCGUGGAUCAGAAUGCCACGGUGAAUACGUUCCCGGGCCUUGUACACACCGCCCGUCACACCAUGGGAGUGGGUUGCAAAAGAAGUAGGUAGCUUAACCUUCGGGAGGGCGCUUACCACUUUGUGAUUCAUGACUGGGGUGAAGUCGUAACAAGGUAACCGUAGGGGAACCUGCGGUUGGAUCACCUCCUUACCUUAAAGAAGC
rnacentral:rRNA from 1 species